GGACUUCUGAAAAGUUACUGCUGUUGCUUUUGCUGAUGCUUUUGUAUCCUCAUCGAUGCAAUGCACUGUGUGCCUUCAUCUUGGUGAUAAUCCAGGGUGUUUUCCCAUAGCUUCAUUGCAAUCUUGAGCACUGCCUGUGAUAUGCAUUUCCCGCUAUCUUUCUCAGGAGGGCUAAGCUGAGAUGUUGGUUUCAACUGCUUAAGUUAUUUUCUCUUUACCUAGUUCUCAUGCAGGCCAUACAUUUUUGCAGCCAAUCCUUUUCCACAAUGUAAGAAGAGGAGGGCACAGGGGAUUUCCCUAGUUCAGGCUACCUAACAGGUCAAGCAGGAAUGUCAAGAAUCUCCUGCAUAUGAGGAAAAUACAGACAGUUCAGAAGACAAGGGUAUUUGAUGGGAAAGUUGCAGAGGGCAUUAGGGUUCAGCGAAGUGCCUCCUGUCCCGUAUCCCCUGACCUUACAGUACCUUUGGAGCAGCAUGGCUAGAGGACACAGGACAACAAUGCAUAUCGACUGAUGUGAUAUGAGCAUACAUGGUCUACUGGCAAACGUCACACAUGGAUGAUGGGGGCAGGUUGUUAUUUUCCGUUUUCCCAGUGAGUGGUGGCCUUGUCUGUUGGUGAAGGCGUUGCUGCCUCAGCCUUCUUCUGUGUAUUGCUUUAAGCCUGUGAAAAAUGGCCACAGAGGUAGGUGGCGCUUCUCCCUCUUAUAUUGUUACAUAGUGCUAUAAUGUGGAGGACUUCUGCAAAGUUACUGUUGUUACUUUUGCUGAUGCUGUUGUAUCCUCACUGAUAGGCUGUAUACCCUCAUCUUGUUAAUAAUCCAGGGUGUUCUCUUGUAGCUUUAUUGGCAUUCUGGACACUGCCUGUGAUGUGCAUUUCCUUCUAUGUUUCUCAGGAGGGCUGAGCUGAGGUUCUAGUUUCAACUGCUUAAGUUUCCUCUUUACCUUGUUCUCAUGCCUGCCAAUUAUUUUGGCUGCCUGUCCCCUUUUAUUCAUGAUUGUAAAAUUGGCAAGAGGCUUACUUAGCUUUCAAAAAGAUUUGCAUGCUUUGCAAAGAAGCAGAGGAAGAAUUUACAAGUUUUCCAAAGUAAAUCUUCUUAAAAAAGGGAAUUGUUAGGUCUAUUCUUUUUUCACCAGGGAGAUUUAAACUUUUAUUUCUUAUUUUCCUUUGUAUUUGCCCUUUCAACAUGCUGCCAUGUGAUACCAGUUCCCCCAAUUUGCCCUUCACAAUGAUGACUCCUGUGUCCUUGCUCAAGCCAGGCAUGUGCAGAGAAGUUCCUCAUGUGGGACUUGUGCAAACAGGACCUCAAGGACAAAUAAUAAUUAUGAGCACUUGCCCAUUUUCUAGCCUGUGCAUGCUUUUACCCAUACCAGUGUUUUUAUGAAGGGUUCUUUAUAACCAGUUGGAGUAAGGAAUCAAACCAUUAGCCUUGUUUACAGAUGGCUUAAAUUGACAUGUUGAUGUCAAUGGUCUGUUGACAAGUGGGGCUGUACAAUUUAUCUCAUAUCCUCCUGUCCUUGAGUCCUAAAUGAGCAGAGGUUUGGUUUCCUGUAGUAGACAGACAUUUACUUUGUAUGACUUGUUAUAUCCACCACCUGAUAGAAUUUUUGGCUGUAGAUGAGGACCCAGUUCCUCUCUUCUGGAUAUUUAGUGCAUGGGCCUCUCCAAAAGGUAUGAAAGAAUGUGCAAAAUGUAUGCACUCCCAUACAGUUUGAA
rnacentral:lncRNA from 1 species